UGGGGAAUAUUGCACAAUGGGCGCAAGCCUGAUGCAGCCAUGCCGCGUGUGUGAAGAAGGCCUUCGGGUUGUAAAGCACUUUCAGCGAGGAGGAAGGGUUCAGUGUUAAUAGCACUGUUCAUUGACGUUACUCGCAGAGGAAGCACCGGCUAACUCCGUGCCAGCAGCCGCGGUAAUACGGAGGGUGCAAGCGUUAAUCGGAAUUACUGGGCGUAAAGCGCACGCAGGCGGUUUGUUAAGUCAGAUGUGAAAUCCCCGCGCUUAACGUGGAACUGCAUU
rnacentral:rRNA from 1 species